rnacentral:lncRNA from 1 species
CGUCUGCCAUGGCGGGUGGGUGAAAGACCCGAGCUAACAUGGGGUUAGCUCGUUAAAUUACAAUAAAGCCUCGUGCAGUUUGCAGCAAGCUCUCGAAUCCGCCUGGUGAUUGGGGUGACCGCGAACCUGGCCUGAGACCCCGGAUACUUGAGUUUUCGGGGGUCUAACAUUUUGGGGGCUCGUCCGGGAUUUGCGACCACCCUUCACCUGAGUGGAUUCGAUCUUGGAGCACAUGGCACGGGAAAGGAGUUCUGCCAUGUGUCACGGGUUAGAAUGUGUUAUGUUGGAGUCCCCCGAUGCUGCUUUUCUGAACUCGAACCACUGCUGCAGCCCUUACAGCUGAGCCUGGCCCAUGUAGUUUAUAAUGUCAGACAGACUGCCAGAUCCGGACAGUGACCCAAAGUCUCCAAAGAAGAUUACGAGGCACCUCAGUUCCUGCACCUGGACCAGUGAGCGAGAUGCUCAGAUGUGAAACCUGCCGCCUGCCAGGACCUGGCCGAGACUGUGGACAAAGCUGCUGGACACUGGAAAAUUGAUUGCACCCCUUUGCCUAGACAAAACAAGGUUUCUGCUUCUGGCUGACAUCUGAGUAUCAGUUGCUGACUACAGGCUGUUCUAAGUAGACUGCGAGCCCUGGACUUGCUGUGGAUGUAAACCAGUCCAGCUGAUGUGGACACCCCCUGUCUCUGCAACAGUGUCUUCUAACCAGAAGCCCCUGAUGAAUUCCCCAUUGCCUAAAUUCCUUUUUGCUUUUGACUAGCAUUUCAACCUUCUGGGGUCCCUAACUUCGUCCCAAAGUCAGCAGGAAGCAGUUUGGAAAAGAAUUUCGC